ACGCUGGCGGCACGCCUAACACAUGCAAGUCGAACGAAGUAGCAAUACUUAGUGGCAGACGGGUGAGUAACAUGUAGGUAUCUGCCCUUUGGCCUGGAAUAACACGAGGAAACUUGUGCUAAUACCGGAUAAGUCUUUACGGAGAAAGCUUUAUGCACCAUUGGAUGAGCCUGCACUUGAUUAGUUUGUUGGUGGGGUAAUGGCCUACCAAGACUGUGAUCAAUAGCUGAUUUGAGAGGAUGAUCAGCCACAUUGGGACUGAGACACGGCCCAAACUCCUACGGGAGGCAGCAGUGGGGAAUCUUGCACAAUGGAGGAAACUCUGAUGCAGCGAUGCCGCGUGAGUGAAGAAGGCCUUUGGGUUGUAAAGCUCUUUCGUCGGGGAAGAAAAUGACUGUACCCGAAUAAGAAGGUCCGGCUAACUUCGUGCCAGCAGCCGCGGUAAUACGAAGGGACCUAGCGUAGUUCGGAAUUACUGGGCUUAAAGAGUUCGUAGGUGGUUGAAAAAGUUGGUGGUGAAAUCCCAGAGCUUAACUCUGGAACUGCCAUCAAAACUUUUCAGCUAGAGUAUGAUAGAGGAAAGCAGAAUUUCUAGUGUAGAGGUGAAAUUCGUAGAUAUUAGAAAGAAUACCAAUUGCGAAGGCAGCUUUCUGGAUCAUUACUGACACUGAGGAACGAAAGCAUGGGUAGCGAAGAGGAUUAGAUACCCUCGUAGUCCAUGCCGUAAACGAUGUGUGUUAGACGUUGGAAAUUUAUUUUCAGUGUCGCAGCGAAAGCGAUAAACACACCGCCUGGGGAGUACGACCGCAAGGUUAAAACUCAAAUGAAUUGACGGGGACCCGCACAAGUAGUGGAGCAUGUGGUUUAAUUCGAAGAUACGCGCAGAACCUUACCAACACUUGACAUGUUCGUCGCGACUCUAAGAGAUUAGAGUUUUCGGUUCGGCCGGACGAAACACAGGUGCUGCAUGGCUGUCGUCAGCUCGUGUCGUGAGAUGUUGGGUUAAGUCCCGCAACGAGCGCAACCCUCACUUUUAGUUGCCAUCAUUAAGUUGGGCACUCUGAAAGAACUGCCAGUGAUAAGCUGGAGGAAGGUGGGGAUGACGUCAAGUCCUCAUGGCCCUUACGUGUUGGGCUACACACGUGCUACAAUGGUAUCUACAACAGGAAGCAAGACUGCGAAGUUAAGCAAAUCCCUAAAAGAUACCUCAGUUCGGAUUGCACUCUGCAACUCGAGUGCAUGAAGCUGGAAUUACUAGUAAUCGUGGAUCAGCGUGCCACGGUGAAUGCGUUCCCGGGUCUUGCACUCACCGCCCGU
rnacentral:rRNA from 1 species